AAAAUAAUCCUACCCUUCGUGAAUUUUGUUUGUUUGAAUAAUUUUUUUUUUAAAAAAUUAUUGGAGUCUUUCCCUUUAGAGUUUGCUUUUGAGUUUGUAAAAGAAUUCGAAAACAUCUAAAGGGGAUGGUCAAUAAUUUUUUUGGAAAAAAGACAUUUUUUAAAAUUAAACUUUUUGUAUUCAUUUGUCUAAAAUUAUUUUUAUAAUAUAAAAACAACUUUUGACAAUGGAUCUCUUGGUUCUCGCAACGAUGAAGAACGCAGCAAAAUGCGAUAAGUAGUGUGAAUUGCAGAAUACGUGAAUCAUCGAAUCUUUGAACGCAUAUUGCACUUUUUUAGUUUACUAAAAAAGUAUGUCUGUUUGAGUAUCAGUAAAAUAUUCUCAUAAAAAUCAUUGUAUUUUUAUGGUUAUGAGUGUUUUACAACGAUACAAGUUGUUUCACUUUAAAUUUUUUUUAAUAUUGAAAUUUUUCUAAUUUUAAUAAUUAAAAUUGGAUAAAAUUUUCCCGUCAAAAGGAAUAACCUAAACAAUUUUAAAUGAUUAAUUUUAGCAAAAUUUUCGAAAAAAAGGAAAAUUUUUAUUAAAAUAACUUGAUCUCAAAUCAGAUAAGAGUACCCGCUGAACUUAAGCAUAUCAAUAAGCGGAGGAAAAGAAACUAACAAGGAUUCCCUUAGUAACGGCGAGUGAAGCGGGAAGAGCUCAAAUUUGAAAUCUUCAAGGUUUUACCUUGACGAAUUGUAGUUUAAAGAAGUGUUUUCUGCUGAAGUUUUGGUAAAAGUUCUUUGGAAUAGGACAUCAUAGAGGGUGAGAAUCCCGUAUUUGACCAUUAUUUUCAGCUUUGUGAUACACUUUCAAAGAGUCGGAUUGUUUGGGAAUGCAGUCCAAAAUGGGUGGUAAAUUUCAUCUAAAGCUAAAUAUUGGCGAGAGACCGAUAGCGAACAAGUACCGUGAGGGAAAGAUGAAAAGAACUUUGAAAAGAGAGUUAAACAGUACGUGAAAUUGUCAAAAGGGAAGCGUUUGACACCAGUGUUGUUUUCUCGAAAAUCAAUUAAAAAUGGCUCGAUUUUGUAUUGCUGAGACCUUAAAAGCUCACUGUACAUUUUUCGUGUCUUUUUUAAUGCACUUUUCGUUUAACAAGUCAACAUCAGUUUCUUUUGUUGUAAAAGGGUCAUUGGAAGGUGGCUUUCUUUUCGGAGAAAGUGUUUAUAGCCUUUGGCCUCUGCAAUCGGAGAGACUGGGGUCUGCAGCGUAGACUCUUCGGGGUUAGAUACAUUUGUGCUAAGUUAUAGCUUUUUAUAGACAACUUGUUGACUAUAAUUAGUCUUGUAGCUUACUCGCUUAUGCUAUUUUACCUACGCUUAGGAUG
rnacentral:misc_RNA from 1 species